CACGCACGCAGCCAGUUUUCUUCUUUACGUUCCAGAGAGAAACUAAACAACUUAAAAUCAACAUGGCGGCAACUGCGUCUUCUCCUUGGGGCAAACCUGGUGCGUGGGCUCUCGACGCCGAAGAACACGAGGACGAACUCCGUCAACAACAAUUCGAUUCUCCCCAUAAAAUCGAUGAUUCUUCUGGUGAGUCUGAAUUUCCCUCUCUAGCCGCCGCCUCCAAAAACCUCAAGAACAAGAAGAAGAAGAAGAAACAAGCCCUAUCUUUAGCUAAAUUCACCGCCUAUGAAUCCGGCAAGUCAGACCAGCCCACCCAAUAUAGAGGCCUUGCUCAUGAUGAUCUCCUCAAUCUCCCAACUGGCCCCCGCCAGCGUUCUGCUGAAGAGCUCCACCAGUCUAGGCUCGGUGGCGGCUUCAAAUCGCAUGGUAUGAGCAACCGUAACGGUGACGAUUCGUCUAACUCGAGAUGGGGUGGUGGUCAUUCUAGGUUUUCUAGUAGAGAUAGGGAUACGACCAGAGAUUUAGCGCCUUCGCGUGCUGAUGAGACUGAUGAUUGGUCUAAAUCGAAAAAAUCAACGGUGGGUAAUGGCUACGAAAGGAGAGAAAGGGGAUCUUUUUUUGAUUCUCUGUCAAAAGCCGAUGAGUUGGAUAGCUGGGUAGCCAAUAAGCCAACAGAGGCGCGGAGAUAUGGUGCUACUAAAGAUGGAUUUGAGAGGAGGGGGAGUUUCGAUUCGUUGUCCAGAGAUAGAAACGGGUCUAAUAGCGGUGGUGCUGCAGCAGAUUCCGAUAACUGGGGAAGGAAGAAGGAGGAGGUUAAUGGAACAGCGAGUUCAAGGCCAAAGCUUAUAUUGCAGCCACGUACAGUUCCUGUAAAUAACGAGAAUGGCGCAGCAGCGAAACCCAAAGGUUCGAGCCCAUUUGGAGAUGCGAGGCCAAGAGAGGAGGUGUUAGCUGAGAAAGGAAAGGACUGGAAAGAGAUUGAUGAGAAGCUGCAGUCUGUGAACAUCAAUUGUAAGAAAGAAAUUGGAAAAGGUGAGAGAGGUAAUUCGACCUCAAUUGGGAGGUGGAGCUUUGGGAAUGGUCGUGGAGGUUCUGGCACUGACCGUGUAGAAAGGAGCUGGAGGAAGCCUGAUGCAGCUGAUUCCAAUUCUCGUCCUCAGAGUGCUCAGAGUGCUGAGACAAAUGAGAAUGAUAAAGCCUCUGAAAAUGGGCAUGCCACUGAGAAGGGAAUUAAAGUUGGCGUCUUGCUCAUGUGAUGCUGAGAAUUGCGAAGGAGUAGAGACUAGAGAGCAUUUGAAUUUGUUAGUAGUCAAAGUUUUUUUUUUCUUUUAUUAUUUAUUUGUACUGAGUUUUGCUUCAACUGUUAUGAUUGCUGAAUACAGUGCAGGGACAAUUUUGGUAGGCUUUAGAAGAGUAAUUAGCACUGAUUUGGCAUUGAUAGGUUUGUUUUGUAGCUGGUAUUGGAAUUCAGAAAUGUUUUUGUUGUUCCAUUACUAGUUUUUUUCAUCUUCAAUUUUGUCCAUCUUACAUCUAGAGCGAGUGUGGAUUUUGAUUGUUGAAACUUUGUGGAUGACGAAUUAAAAGUUGUGCAUAAUAUUUCUCUUCUAAA
rnacentral:misc_RNA from 1 species